rnacentral:rRNA from 1 species
GGAUAACUGUGGCAAUUCUAGAGCUAAUACAUGCAACAAAGCUCCGACUUUCGGAAGGAGCGCAUUUAUUAGACCAAAACCAAUCGAGCUCUGCUCGUUUGUUGGUGACUCUGAAUAACUUUGCCGAUCGAACGGUCAUUGAACCGUCGACAUGUCUUUCAAGUGUCUGCCUUAUCAACUGUCGAUGGUAGUAUAUGGGACUACCAUGGUAAUAACGGGUAGCGGAGAAUUAGGGUUCGACUCCGGAGAGGGAGCCUGAGAAACGGCUACCACAUCCAAGGAAGGCAGCAGGCACGCAAAUUACCCACUCCCGGCACGGGGAGGUAGUGACGAAAAAUAACGAGACGGUUCUCUACGAGGCCCGUCAUCGGAAUGAAUACAACCUAAAUCCUUUAAUGAGGAUCUAUUGGAGGGCAAGUCUGGUGCCAGCAGCCGCGGUAAUUCCAGCUCCAAUAGCGUAUAUUAAAGUUGUUGCGGUUAAAAAGCUCGUAGUUGGAUCUGAGGUCAUGUGAAGCGGUCACCCAGUGGGUUGUUACUGCUUACACAGGCCAACUUUCUCUAGCGCACUCCUGGUGCUCUUAAUCGGGUGUCAGGCGUAGCUAGAACCUUUACUUUGAAAAAAUUAGAGUGCUCCAAGCAGACGAUUGUCUGAAUAUUUGUGCAUGGAAUAAUGGAAUAGGACCUCGAGUCCAUUUUGUUGGUUUUCGGUCCCGAGGUAAUGAUUAAGAGGGACAGACGGGGGCAUUCGUAUUGCGACGUUAGAGGUGAAAUUCUUGGAUCGUCGCAAGACGAACUACUGCGAAAGCAUU